UAAUAUAUUCAUAUACUAAUGUAUAUUAUAGUACCUCUUUCAUAUUAUACUACUUCUUUUUAGAUAUGAACAAAUAUAGGAUUAGAGAGGGUUAAAUUCAAAAGUGUCACUAAUCCGAUGGUAUCGCACGUUUAUAUUUACACUUUUCCAAAAUAGAAAUCUUAAGGAGGAUCAAUGUUCAAGGUUAAUAAGAUUCGCAAGGUCGAUUCUGAUAAAUCACUCGCAAGAAACAAUUUAAGAUAAAACAAAGUGUAAAAGAAACUAGUCGAGUUCGACGAACGACCGUGAGUACGAAUGAAAAAUGACUCGGUGUAAUUCUAUUCGGUAAAAAUUAUUUCUCUCUAAGAAGAUCGCGUGUCCGACAGUGAAAGUGAACUCUACGGGAAUACUCUAUUACUAUACUUAUAACAAAUUUUAUCUGAUUAUACCUCAACGUCGAAAAAUAACGUUAGUAUUUUAUUUUCUUUUUUUUUUUCUUUUUAUUCUUUGCGACCCGUACAAUUAUUUAUGUACAAGAAAGAAAAUAAGAAAAAAAGAAAGAACAGGAAAGAAUUAUAACAAUAAAUUCAAUAAAAAUAAACUAAAAACGAUUCGAAUCGAUUCUGUUCGACUCGACUUGCCGGAUAAACUACAAAUAAAAUUUUGCAAAUUCGCAGGAUAUAUAAAUCGAUUUCGAAUAGAAGUAUCUUAAUUUGAUAAAAAGAAGAAAAAACGAAUUAAUUGAACAAAUCAAGAGAUCUAUUUACAACAGUGACUAGAAUCAAAGAAGUGUAUUUCAAAAUGCUGCGUUGUAAUUUCGUACAUUUUGCGAAGAUAAAGUUACAGAAAUCUGGAAGAAUUUCGAAAUAUUCAUGAGACGUGUCCAAGGACUCAUAAGCUAAGGAAUUAUCUUACAUGUCAGGUUGUCCCCUUGCUUCCUCACGGAUGGCAAGCACCUUUGCUUCAGGAAAUUAUGCGGCGUGACUAUUUAGGACUAUGACCUUUGACAAUUUCGAAACGACUUAUAACUAAACGCAUAAGCAUAAGAACACGUUAACGACGCCUACGUGACUGAGAUGUUACUCUAUUGCACGAAAUAAAGAAAUCGAUUGUUAAGUACAUACACGAAUGGAUGGUUAAAUAAAUGAGUUAAAAAUAUAUGAAUUUUUGAAAGGCGACUAUUGAAAUUGAAGAUAAAUGAAAAAGGGAGAAGAAAAAAAAAAGAAAUUGAGUGGAAAUAGCCGAAUAAGUGGGUAGAAAAUCCGAUAUUGUUUGCCAUUGCAAGCGAUACGGAAGAAGUGGAAGCACGGAAACGAAAUUGGUGUUUCGAAAUAAUUUUAAUUUUCCUUUUGUGAAUCGUUAUUGAUUCAUUCUCAAUCGGGAAUGAUAAAGAAUAAGGUACUGAAUAAAACUAUGCGAAUUCGUUUUUAAUAAAGACAAUUUUGUCAAAGAUAACACCUUUUCUUUUUUCUUUUAUCUU